GUGGUGGUGGCUGCUGAUCGUUGUGUCUGUGGCUGUUGCAGCUCUCUUAAUAAUCACUGUGGCUGUCUUCAGAUGGAGGAGAGCUAAAGGGGAAACAACACAGACGGAUGACGACAUGGCUGAUCCUGAAGGUGAUGUUUCCUACGCCUCCGUCAGCUACACCAAGAAGACCAACAGGAGAGCCCAGACCCAUGUUGAUGAUGAUGAUGAUGAUGAUGCAGUGACCUACAGCACUGUGAAAACCUCCUCCUCUUCUGCUGCAGCCUGUGCUGAUCCCAGCAACCUCUACGCUAACGUCAACAAA